rnacentral:rRNA from 1 species
CCUACGGGAGGCAGCAGUAAGGAAUAUUGGUCAAUGGGCGGAAGCCUGAACCAGCCAUGCCGCGUGCAGGAAGACGGCCCUAUGGGUUGUAAACUGCUUUUGUACCGGAAUAAACCCCCGAACGUGUUCGGGGCUGAAUGUACGGUAAGAAUAAGGAUCGGCUAACUCCGUGCCAGCAGCCGCGGUAAUACGGAGGAUCCGAGCGUUAUCCGGAUUUAUUGGGUUUAAAGGGUGCGUAGGCGGCCUGUUAAGUCAGGGGUGAAAGACGGUAGCUCAACUAUCGCAGUGCCUUUGAUACUGACGGGCUUGAAUGUACUUGAGGUAGGCGGAAUGUGACAAGUAGCGGUGAAAUGCAUAGAUAUGUCACAGAACACCAAUUGCGAAGGCAGCUUACUAAGGUAUGAUUGACGCUGAGGCACGAAAGCGUGGGGAUCAAACAGGAUUAGAUACCCUGGUAGUCCACGCCCUAAACGAUGAAUACUCGAUGUUGGCGAUAUACGGCCAGCGUCUAAGCGAAAGCGUUAAGUAUUCCUACCGUGGGAGGUACGCCGCGAGGUAAGGUAACGUACAAUUAGUAAGUUAGUUACGGCGUUGAGACGNGCCGACGGACGACGACGAGGGGAGGAGG